GCUGUGGAGGAGCGAAGCUUGUGUUUGCAGGGUGAAAAUGGCGGACGUGGAAAUGGAGGUAGACGGAAAAAGCGUGGACAGCGGCAAAGAGCAGGAAGGAGAAGAUGCAGAGAGCUCUGAGAAAAGCGGAAGUGAAGAAAAUGGAGACAUGCCAGAAGAAAAAGCUGAGUCCAAACCCAGCAAACACAAGAAGAAGAAACACAAACACAGGAGUAAACACAAGAAACACAAACACUCCUCUGAAGAGGAGAAGGACAGAAAGCAUAAGCACAAGCAUAAACAUAAGAAACACAAGCGCAAGGAAACAUCUGAUGCCAACAAACAAGAUGGCGCCCCUUCCAAACCACCCAAGUUUGAUGACAUGGCAGUCUUGGAAGAUCUGGAGAAACAGAGGGCAAUGAUAAAAGCAGAGCUAGAUAAUGAACUGAUGGAAGGGAAGGUUAAGUCAGGAAUGGGUUUAAUAUUACAGGGUUAUAACUCGGGUUCAGAGGAGGAAGGUGAGAUUCAGGACAGGAUGAGAAAUGGUGCACGAGGUCCUUCCAGUGCUUUGGCCCUCAAAGGCCAGGGCUCGCAGCUUGUUAAGGAUUCCAAAGCUAAAAAAGAGCCUGCAGACAGCAAGUCAGGCUCAAAGAGGAGGAGCAGGAGUAAGUCCAAAGACAGGGCGAAGCAUAAAUCUGAUAAAAAGAAAAAUAAGGGUAGCACCAGUGAAGGAGGUACGAAGGAAAAGACAAAAGCACGGAGCAGAUCAAAAGAAAGGAAACGCUCGAAGAGCCCUGCAAGAAGAAGCAGGUCCAAAGAGCGGACAAAAAAGUCCAAGUCCCCAACAUUCAAGAGGCGUUCUUCACUAGAGCGGGCUAAGAAAUCAACAUCCCCAACCACCACUGAAAUAGAAAAGAGUAGAGCAAAGGAAAGGAAGAAGUCACCUCCUGUCAAAGAGAGCAAAAGCAGGGAGCGAAGCCGAAAGUCCAAAUCUCCCCCGGCAGAGAGGAGGAGCAAAUCCCGGGAACGGAAGUCCAGGUCCAAGGAGAGAAAGUCUAGAAGGUCAGAGACUGAGAGAGACAAGAAGCCUGCUAAGUCUCCUUCAAAGGAUGCCUCUUCAGGAAAGGAAAAUCGGUCCCCUAGCAGGAAACGUGGACACAGCCCUCCACAUCGCAGCUCCUCCCCAAAAGGGAGAGAGAGGCCAUCCAAGCGCAGCAGGUCACCCACUUCUUCUGCUGCUGCAGUAACAGAUAAGAAGUCUCCCUCCCGAAAUACAUCUCCCUCUAAAAGGGCAAGGAGCAGAUCACCUGAUCGGAGGCGGCGAGAACUAGAUCGACAGAGACCUUCACCAGUCAGAAUGAGACCACGGGAUGCAAGCCCACUGCCCCCCAGGAGACGGCUCAGUAGGUCCCCACUGAGGAGAAGGUCCCCACGCCGCAGGAGCAGAUCUCCUUUCAGGAGGAGAUCUUUAGAUCGAGACAGAAUGAUGAGAAGAAGCCGAUCCAGACAGAGGCGGAGGUCUAGGUCCAGGGAUAGACGCCGGAGGCGCAGCAGAGAUGAGGACAAGUUUAAAGGCAGCCUUUCUGAAGGGAUGAAAAUUGAUCAGGAAUCUUCCUCUGAUGAAGUCUUGGAAGAUUAUGAUGUAGAUGACGAGGAUGAGGAAGCCCUUAUUGAACAAAGAAGAUUGCAGCGACUGGCUAUUGUGCAGAAAUACAAGUCUGUUAAUGAAGACAGCAACAUGUCUGUACCGUCUGAGCCCAGCAGUCCUCAGAGCAGCUCCCGCAGUCGCUCACCCUCUCCUGAUGAUAUUUUGGAAAGGGUGGCUGCAGACGUGAAGGAGUAUGAGAGGGAAAAUAUGGACACCUUCGAAGAUAAUGUGAAAGCCAAGCACAACCUGAUUGCAGUUGAAAAAGAUGGUUUGAAUCCAAAAAAGCCCUUGGCUCCAGAUAUGUUUACAGAAUCUGAUGACAUGUUUGCAGCAUAUUUUGAUAGCGCAAGAUUUAGAGCUGCUGGCAUUGGCAAGGAUUUCAAGGAAAACCCCAACCUCCGGGAUAACUGGACCGACGCAGAGGGCUACUAUCGUGUGAAUAUCGGAGAGGUUUUGGACAAGCGAUACACCGUCUAUGGCUAUACAGGUCAGGGCGUCUUCAGUAACGUGGUGCGAGCCAGAGAUAUGGCAAGAGCCAGCCAGGAGGUGGCCGUGAAAAUUAUUAGAAACAAUGAGCUCAUGCAGAAGACGGGACUAAAAGAACUGGAGUUCUUAAAGAAACUCAACGAUGCUGAUCCAGAUGACAAGUUUCAUUGCUUACGGCUUUUCAGGCAUUUCUACCACAAGCAACAUCUCUGUUUGGUGUUCGAGCCACUCAGCAUGAAUUUGCGUGAGGUUUUGAAGAAGUAUGGCAAAGAUGUGGGUCUCCAUAUAAAAGCAGUUCGAUCCUACAGCCAGCAGCUUUUCCUGGCUCUGAAACUUCUGAAAAGGUGUAAUAUCCUGCAUGCUGAUAUCAAACCUGAUAACAUCCUGGUGAAUGAAUCCAAAACAAUUCUUAAAUUGUGUGACUUUGGCUCAGCUUCACAUGUUGCAGACAAUGACAUCACCCCAUACCUUGUGAGUCGAUUCUACAGGGCACCUGAAAUUAUCAUUGGAAAGCCUUAUGACUAUGCGUUAGACAUGUGGUCAGUGGGCUGCACACUUUAUGAACUCUACACAGGAAAGAUCCUGUUUCCUGGCAAAACGAACAACCACAUGGUGAAACUUGCAAUGGACCUUAAGGGCAAAAUGCCAAAUAAGAUGAUAAGAAAAGGCUUGUUCAAGGACCAGCACUUUGAUCAGAAUUUGAACUUCUUGUAUAUCGAAGUAGAUAAAGUUACUGAAAGGGAGAAAGUUACAGUGAUGAGCACCAUUAACCCUACCAAGGACCUGUUAGCUGACCUGGUGGGAUGUCAACGCCUGCCUGAAGAUCAGCGCAAAAAAGUCAUUCAGGUCAAGGACUUGCUUGACCAAAUUCUGAUGCUGGACCCAGCCAAGAGGAUAAGCAUCAAUCAGGCACUGCAGCACCCCUUUAUCCAAGAGAAAAUCUAACCACAUUUACGUAACUGGUUUAAGUAAAAAAUAAAUCAACAAAUAAGUACAAAGACUGAAGGAUUUACAGAAAGCUUAUUUAAGUCGUGACAUUUUUUUUUCACCCACAUUUUAAUACAGUAUAUUUUAUUUUUCUGAAGUACAAUUAAAGUAGGGAUCCAAGAAUUUAAGGAGACCUGCUAGACAUUCAGUAUCUACACCUAUUGCCAGUUGGGUACCAUCCGAUUUCCUGGUAAAGUUUAUCUUUUUAGGCCUUUCCAACUCAUCUAUGCUGAUGUCACCAAAAGCUGACCUAGAGUUGUAAAAUAUUCUAAUUUAAAAAGCUUAAUCUUGGAUCCUUGCAGGUAUACUGUUGCAGAUGAAUGAUUUAAUUACUGUACAUUUGUUUUGUGGAUUGUUCAGAUUUUGAUUAUAUUAAAGUUUAUUGUAGUUGCCAAGGCUGCACAGAAAUAUUAACUUUCUAUGGUUGUACAAGCCAGCUUUUACAUGCAAAUUUGUUUAUACAAUACAAAAAGCUGUUGGUUUGGGUUUUCUUUUUUAUAUAAAUAUAUGUGCAGAGUUGGCAACAUUUGCUUUCUGUAAAAUGGCCAGCAUAAAUGCUGUUUAUAUUCACAUCUUCCUAGGUGUAUGUGUGCAGGCCACAGCAGCAUGCCCUUGGUGUAGUUCUGUGCCGAAGGGGGUCUGUUCUACUUGAGCCUGCCAGCAGGGAUGGUCUCCUCUUUUAAAGCAGGUUGUGUACCACUUUCAGUACACUGAAGGUAAGCUUAAACCAUCAACUUCACUGGUGUUUUACACAUUAUUACACUGGCAGUUUAUACUAAAAAGAGGUCUGGCAUAAAGGCAGAUUGCCCCAUGCAUGAUUCUAAUUGAAACAUCCUUAAGUUUUGUUAUCUGGAGUUUAAUAAAACGAGUAAGUAAAAAAUGCUUUUGGAAGUGGGGAAGACCUUGAUGGACAGCAACGCCUUCAGUGUACUGUUUCUUAUUACUUUAUAAAGUUUAAAAUAUUUCCAAAACUUCAAAUUUUUCAAAAAAACAACAAUGUAGUUUAUAUAAAAUCCGUUCUUAAAUGUUUUCUUUUAGUAACUGCAUGUUUAGGGCGAAACGGGGAAUAUCUUUGUGUCCGAGGUUUAAUUUCUUUAACUACUUUGAUUUCAUUUAAAUUGUGCACUGUUUUAUUGUAGAAAGCCUCAUUUUUGUAAUUGACAUUGCUUUCGUUAUUUGUGAUCAUGUUGUCUUUCAAUACAGGCGUAAACCUUCAAAGCUUGAGCAAAGCAGCUGCUUUUUUAAAGCGGUAAUUGCUUCUUUAUUUUUUGUACAUUUAAACUUCUUUGGGUUUUAGAACAAGAACCUCACCUGUAGAAUGUUGCCUAAUCAAAUUUGUCUUUGCUUAUUGUAAACUCAGUAGGCUUUCCCUGCAUGUAAAGUGGACCAUGCAGAUUACUGUACUUUUUCAAUAUGCAUCAUUUAAACAUCAUAAAAUAAAGUCUUUUUUGUGGAAAAACAUGGUUGCAGACAUUUAAGAUAUUUUUUUUUGCUGUGAUGACGCUUGUCCAAUGACUUUGCAAAUAUUUGUAUUUGGUAGGGUUAGAACCUUAAUGUAAUAGCUGUAUUUAGGCCACCUUUUGUCCCAGCUACUAAAUAUUUAGAGUUGCAGAAAGUGACGGUUCUGUUUCUUAAUGUGGUAGAUGCUUUGUAUUUUUCAUGAAUGGUAGGUUGUAAGCAACCAUAUAAAUGGUGACAUAUCCCAUUGUUUUUUUUGUUUUUUUCUCUUGUAAACUAACUCAUAUCUGUGAUGUUUUCUCACUUUUCCCUUGGAUGGUGCUGAGAUUGAAAUCAAGUUAUGCUACUAUGUCUGGAGGCACAGUCUACGUCAUCCACUCCGUGGCUCUGCUUUGAAUGAGACAAGACCUUCACCUACUUAACAAGGUGCAGUCCAACAGAUGACGACAAGAAAAAAAUCAAGACCUGAACAAAGGUUUCUGUCCUAAAAAGAGCGGUUUUCUGUUUUUAUUUAAAGCACUUCUCCCUUUCACAACAUUGUACACUGUUGCUUUAAUUCGGCAAUUUUGAACAUUUGGUGGAAAGUAGCUACCCCAUUAACUAAUUUUGCUUCAUGAAGUUGACAAACGUGCUGAAUAGUGUUGUGUUCACAUGUUGAAUUACUUAUCACUUUGUAGUUUUCCCAUGUACUUCACAAAAAACUGACAGAUGGAAAAAUAAUAAAUACAUAAUUCUCAAGCCUAAAAUUCUAGGUGAUGCAGUUUAGCCAUGGCUGUAUUUCCCAAUGAUCCUUUAAAAAGCAGGCCAUUCUGCUAGAUGUUUUGAAUGUUUGUUUUUAACAGCAAUGAAUUGUAUUUCUUAAUUUUUUUUUCUUUUUUCUACCUCAUAUGUAGGGUAAGUGGCACGUGAAAGCAGUAGCAGUCUUCAUGAACCAGUUACGGAUUUAGGCAAGGCUCUUUGCACAUCCAGAGACCAAAAAUCAAUUGUUGUUUUAAAAACCUACAAAAUGUGGUACAAUUUUUGGAAUGCUUUAUUUGAAUUUAUAACAUACUCCAAGUGUGAUGUUUUUUUACUGCAUUUAUAAACCUGUUUCUGAAAUAAAAUGUAUUGUAACAUGA